rnacentral:rRNA from 1 species
GAUCCUGGCUCAGGACGAACGCUGGCGGCGCGCCUAACACAUGCAAGUCGAACGAGAGAUGAAGAGCUUGCUCUUCAAAUCGAGUGGCGAACGGGUGAGUAACGCGUGAGGAACCUGCCUCAAAGAGGGGGACAACAGUUGGAAACGACUGCUAAUACCGCAUAAGCCCACGGCUCGGCAUCGAGCAGAGGGAAAAGGGGUGAUCCGCUUUGAGAUGGCCUCGCGUCCGAUUAG